CACAUGACCUAGAGAGUCCACUCCUAGAUACAUGCCCGAGGGAGAUGACAAGAAAUGCCUGCACCAAAAAGUAGAUGUUCUCUUAGUAGGACCUGGGGUUUGCUGACUGAACUACACCAGCAAGCCAGUGAACUCCAGGGAUCCACCUGCUACCACCUUUCCAGCUCUGGGCUUACAAGGGCAGCCACCAUGCCUGGAUUGUCACAUGGAGGCUGGAGAUUGAAUUCAGGUCUUCAUGCAGCAAUCACUUUAUGACUGAACCAUUUCCCCCAGCCUCCACGGUGUCUUAAUGCUAGCUGUGUCUUGGUUGUGCAUAUACUAAAACCACGGAACUAUGUGCUUUAACUAGAAGAAUGAUAUGGCAUAUGAAUUUUGCUAAUAAAACAUCUGAAGGGACA